CCCAGUUCGGAUCGCAGCCUGCAACCCGGCUGCGUGAAGCUGGAAUCGCUAGUAAUUGCGGAUCAGAAUGCCGCGGUGAAUACGUUCCCGGGUCUUGUACACACCGCCCGUCACACCAUGGGAGCCGGAAACGCCCGAAGCCAGUGGCCUGACCGCGAGGGGGGAGCUGUCGAAGGCGGGUCCGGUGACCGGGGUGAAGUCGUAACAAGGUAUC
rnacentral:rRNA from 1 species